UCCCAGGCUGGUGGGGCAGGGCUGGCCACCGGGGGAAGCGGAAGUAGAAGGGAAGCGACCCUCUGGCCACCCCAACAGCACUAUCCUGGAGAGGGCCAAAGAGGCGAGGGGCAGGACGGGCUGAGAGGAUGGGGAGGGAGAGAAGGCCAAGACUUCCUGCAGAAAAAAGCACACACAAACAUCACACGGGCAAGGGCAUUUCACAACGGAGCUCCUGGAAGGCAGGGGCUGAUCUGGGAGUCCCAGCAGGCCUGGCGAAGCUCAGACCCAAGUUUCCCCACGUAGAUGUCUAGUGCAGCACCUGAUGCAUCAAAGGUAAAGCAGGAACUGCUGGUUAUUCAAACCACUGAGACUUCCCUCCUGGUAUCUUAUCCACCCUUGGCCACUUUAUAAGCAUCCUGAGGGCAGAGAGCAUAGCAGCUUGUCCAGUGUGGGGUCAGGGAACCAGCUUGGAGAAUACCCAUUUGUGGACUGACUUUCUAAACAACAUUCCCCUACCUUCGCUGUCGGGGGUACAGCCCAAGGGGUUGCAUCUGCUGAUAGUGUCCCAAAGGCGGUGCUAAGCUCCAUUUUCACCCUACUCCAUCCAUACUCCAGGGUCCCUGUGGACAGGGCGAUCUCGGUCCUGCGCCCACAGCUCUCCCACACUGUCCACCGAAGUCCUGCCUGUCUUUGCAACCUGCGUGCCAGGCUUAAGCUGCUGCUACCUGGCAGUCAGCAUAAGCCCAAUUCACACCAUGGCUGGGAGUGGGAGAGACCCACUGGGCACAGCUGCAGGGAGGGAGUGCCAAGGAGGCCAAGGGCUGCAGGUGCAGUGGGGCUGAGCUGAGAGGAAUGUUUCCC
rnacentral:lncRNA from 10 species